GCCGCUUUGGCCAAGUGGUUAAGGCGUCGCACUUGUAUGAGAUGCGAAGAUCACUCGUUCAACUCGGGUAAGCGGCA